rnacentral:lncRNA from 1 species
GUAGAUGGUUUCAACACCAUUGCCGCCGCAGCACAUCUCCAAACCCUAGAUCUGAUGCCGGAGCACUCUUAAUGGUUGCUCUGGGGAUUGUGGUUCAAAGGUCACUCUUAAUUCUUAUCUAACAUGAUAUUUGAGCUUUUUAUGUCACGGUGUAUUACUAUUUGUUUUAUUGACCUAUAGUCAUAUACCGUGAUAUAAAUAGCUCAAGUAUUAUGUUGGUUAAGAGGUCCGAUGUUAUUGUUGAUGAAAGUAUUGUUAGAGCAUCGUUUUUUGUACUUUGUAACUCUUGUAUGAACGAUUGUGUUUUUUUGUUUCAAUUGUAUCUUUGUAAUGAAACCUGUGGGUGUUUGUUUUGUUGAUGUUUGAUGGU